AUGGCUAAGGGCGAUGGUAUGGGGUCUGUAUAAGGGCAAACCCCAAAAACUGCCUUCUUGCCUUCUGUCUGGGUGAAGCCAGGCUGUGCCUCAGAGAGGAUGCUCCCUGAGGAAGAGGUUUACCUUGUGUAAUUGUGUGGCUUGUCUGCUGAUCGUGAUGUGCUAAAACUGUGCUUUGGGGGAUUUUAUGGAAUGUAGAGCUUAUUGCAACAGAAGUGUAAUACAGAAUUCCCUUUACUGUUCAAGACAACAUUUAAUGAUGACAGAAGAUUAAAUGGCCUGUGCAGAAUCCUUUGCCUCUGCUGCUGCUUUCCCUGAAAUACUUGAAGUACCCUGAGACCAGGAGAACUGGCACUUGUGGAUGUACUUACGGUCCACAAAGGAGGUGAAGAGCAUUCGGAAGCGGCUCAGCCUGCUGCCCUCGUCCGCCCACAUGC